rnacentral:rRNA from 1 species
UACGUAGGGUGCAAGCGUUGUCCGGAAUUAUUGGGCGUAAAGAGCUCGUAGGCGGUUUGUUGCGUCGGCUGUGAAAUCCCGAGGCUCAACCUCGGGUCUGCAGUCGAUACGAGCAAACUAGAGUGUGGCAGAGGAGUAUAGAAUUCCUGGUGUAGCGGUGAAAUGCGUAGAUAUCAGGAGGAAUACCGAUGGCGAAGGCAGUACUCUGGGCCAACACUGACGCUGAGGUGCGAAAGCGUGGGGAGCAAACGGG